rnacentral:rRNA from 1 species
CCUACGGGAGGCAGCAGUGAGGAAUAUUGCGCAAUGGGGGCAACCCUGACGCAGCGACGCCGCGUGGAUGAUGAAGGCCCUUGGGUCGUAAAAUCUCUGUCAGAUGGAAAGAAAUUCCACAGGUCUAAUAUGRUUGUGGUAUGACGGUACCAUCAAAGGAAGCCCCGGC